AGUCGAACGAUGAACCACUUCGGUGGGGAUUAGUGGCGAACGGGUGAGUAACACGUGGGCAAUCUGCCCUUCACUCUGGGACAAGCCCUGGAAACGGGGUCUAAUACCGGAUACUGACCCUCGCAGGCAUCUGCGAGGUUCGAAAGCUCCGGCGGUGAAGGAUGAGCCCGCGGCCUAUCAGCUUGUUGGUGAGGUAAUGGCUCACCAAGGCGACGACGGGUAGCCGGCCUGAGAGGGCGACCGGCCACACUGGGACUGAGACACGGCCCAGACUCCUACGGGAGGCAGCAGUGGGGAAUAUUGCACAAUGGGCGAAAGCCUGAUGCAGCGACGCCGCGUGAGGGAUGACGGCCUUCGGGUUGUAAACCUCUUUCAGCAGGGAAGAAGCGAAAGUGACGGUACCUGCAGAAGAAGCGCCGGCUAACUACGUGCCAGCAGCCGCGGUAAUACGUAGGGCGCAAGCGUUGUCCGGAAUUAUUGGGCGUAAAGAGCUCGUAGGCGGCUUGUCACGUCGGUUGUGAAAGCCCGGGGCUUAACCCCGGGUCUGCAGUCGAUACGGGCAGGCUAGAGUUCGGUAGGGGAGAUCGGAAUUCCUGGUGUA
rnacentral:rRNA from 2 species